rnacentral:rRNA from 1 species
UACGUAGGGUGCAAGCGUUAAUCGGAAUUACUGGGCGUAAAGCGUGCGCAGGCGGUUUUGUAAGUCUGUCGUGAAAUCCCCCGGGCUCAACCUGGGAAUUGCGAUGGAGACUGCAAGGCUAGAAUCUGGCAGAGGGGGGUAGAAUUCCACGUGUAGCAGUGAAAUGCGUAGAGAUGUGGAGGAACACCGAUGGCGAAGGCAGCCCCCUGGGUCAAGAUUGACGCUC